rnacentral:tRNA from 1 species
GUGGUGGUGGCUCAGUGGUAGAACGCUUGCCUCACAUGUAUGAGAUACUGUGUUCAAUACUCAGCUCCACA